AGCUUUCCACAGUGGUGUUGUCUUAGCUAAUGAGGUUUAUCCCAGGUGUGAUUAUUGCUAAUUGAAAACUUUUCCAAAUGCGGCCCAGUAACAGCUUGAUAUAUAGUUGGCAUGGGAAAUUUUUCACAGUCUCUAUGGGA
rnacentral:snRNA from 1 species